AAACGUUGUGGAAGAAACCCUAGCGCGUGCCUAAGCUCUUGACUGUCUUGACUGUUCUGUGGGGGCUUCCGUAGACCGUUUUCCUCGGUUAGGAUUUAACAUGGCGGCUCCCUUUCCGGAGAUCGCAGAUGUGACCUGGUGAUGGCAAAAUCGAGUACUGGCCAGCCGAUGGGCCUGUAAGGAGAAGAGAGUGGACCCGGAAUUACCUGUCCAGACCUGGCAGAUGAGGCCAGCAAAUUUCCUCAGAUGUUACAGGGCUUCUGUUUGGAAACCAGCCUUUUAAAUCCUGCUGUGAUGCCAAGAGAUAGCCCAGCAACUCAUACCUUGCCUUACUCUGAGCCACUUUCUUGUGUGACCAUCUCUGACGCCUUAUGCUGAAGCUGAUCUGGCUCAGCACCAAAGUUCUGGCACCAAGACGGUGCUUGUUAACUGGCAGUGCCGAAAAGGUCUCCUCGCUUUCAUUGUCUGUGUAAACUUACUUCUUUUCUGGGCAGUGGUUACUUUGUUGAAAAAUCUCUGGAAGAGUUUUCACAGUUGGGGUGGGGGGAAAGCGCUAAACAGAAAUUUGAACUCUUCUAAGGUGCAUUCCAAGACACUUCUAAGCUCCAGUUUCAUAGAAACCUCGGGCUCCUGUGUUGCUUUAUUAGCAUGGGUUUUAUCCAGAAGGUGGCAUCACAGAACCUGAAUUUCAUUCACUGAAGGUUAAAAGACAAUCCACAUUUCUUUGUGAUUGGAAACUAAAGUAUGUAGUUUUAUGAGACCAUGUUUAAAGACUCUGUGUUUAUCCCUGUAAUUGGGAAAAUUA